UACGGCCAUAUCUUGUUGGAACAACGGUUCUCGUAAGAUCACCGAAGUUAAGCAACCUCGGAUCUGGUCACUAUCUAGAUGGGUGACUGUUUAGGAAUACCAGGUA